rnacentral:rRNA from 1 species
CAGCAGCCGCGGUAAUACGUAGGUGGCAAGCGUUGUCCGGAAUUAUUGGGCGUAAAGGGCUCGCAGGCGGUUUCUUAAGUCUGAUGUGGAAGCCCCCGGCUCAACCGGGGGGGGUCAUUGGAAACUGGGAGACUUGAGUGCAGAAGAGGAGAGUGGAAUUCCACGUGUAGCGGUGAAAUGCGUAGAGAUGUGGAGGAACACCAGUGGCGAAGGCGACUCUCUGGUCUGUAACUGACGCUGAGGAGCGAAAGCGUGGGGAGCGAACAGGAUUAGAGACCCCCGUAGUCCCUGUCUCUUAUAC